AUUGAACGCUGGCGGCAGGCCUAACACAUGCAAGUCGAGCGGCAGCGGGAAAGUAGCUUGCUACUUUUGCCGGCGAGCGGCGGACGGGUGAGUACUGCCUGGGGAUCUGCCCAGUCGAGGGGGAUAACAGUUGGAAACGACUGCUAAUACCGCAUACGCCCUACGGGGGCAAGGAGGGGACCUUCGGGCCUUUCGCGAUUGGAUGAACCCAGGUGGGAUUAGCUAGUUGGUGGGGUAAUGGCUCCCCAAGGCGACGAUCCCUAGCUGGUCUGAGAGGAUGAUCAGACACACUGGAACUGAGACACGGUCCAGACUCCUACGGGAGGCAGCAGUGGGGAAUAUUGCACAAUGGGGGAAACCCUGAUGCAGCCAUGCCGCGUGUGUGAAGAAGGCCUUCGGGUUGUAAAGCACUUUCAGCGAGGAGGAAAGGUUGGUAGCUAAUAACUGCCAACUGUGACGUUACUCGCAGAAGAAGCACCGGCUAACUCUGUGCCAGCCGCCGCCUAAAAC
rnacentral:rRNA from 1 species